GCCGGAUUAGCCUAGUGGUAGGGCGUAGCUUUCCUAUCCAGGAAAUCAUAAGGCUGAGGUCGUGGGUUCGAACCCCACAUUCGGUU